CAGGACAUGUGAUAAGGGGCAACAGAAUUUCUAUUGGCAGUUCCUAGUUGAAGCUCUUGAAGUUUGACUAGACAAAGUGAUGGAGUAAUGAGCUUCUUUUCAGGUGAUCAUUGUCUUCAUACCAUGGAGUGGAACCUAGAGAUUAACAUUCAAAGAUGAGGAUAUGAGAUACAUGUAAGAUACUGCAUGAAACGAAUUUGAGUCACCAUAUGAUGAGAAUGUACAUGUAGGCCUACUUGCAGAACCAGAGGUUUAACAUGGAUUUUAUGCCUCUAGGUGAUAGUGGUCUUCAUGCCAUGAAGUGGAAUGUAGAGAUUAACAUUCAAAGAUGAGGAUAUGAGAUACAUGUAAGAUACUGCAUCAUACAAAUGCGAGUCAGAUGUGAAUGUAGGCCCUCUUGCAGAGCCAGAGGUCUAACAUGGAUUUUAUGCUUGUAGAUAAUUUUCUGACUUGGAGAGGACCAUUCAUGCAUGAGGAUGUAACAGAAGAUCGUACUUAAUGUCAAUGGCUGUAUACAUGUGCAUUUAGUCGCAGUGAAAUGAGGAUUACAUUCCAUAGUAAGAGAUUCUGGAAAAUCCAGACCAAAUCCAGAUGUAUCAAGGUUACACUAUUACUGGUUCAAGUGAUCCAUUCCAAGAGAUCUGGAGGAAAGGGCUUAUUCAACUUUGGAGAAGAGCAGUUGGACUGAAAAUCAUAUAGAAGGUACCCAGAUCUCGCUUCAGAUGCUCCACAUCUUUGGAAUCCUCUUCCAAACCAACUUAAUUUGUAGUUGUAACAACUUUGAAACCUGCAACAUAGACCUCUCUGUUCUAAUAACUGUUUGAAUAAUGUGCGACAUAUUGAUGGAGCCAGCACUUCUUCGGCUUCCUACAGAUAAAUAGCACAAUACAUAUGCUGUUUAUCAUUAUAAUAAUGAUAAUAUUCCCCUUUUAUAUUUUGCCUAUCACACUGAAACAAUAUCUAUAAGUGCUUUACAGAUAUAUUAUUUCCCAGGUCAUUGGAUUGUGGCUUGCUGGCAUACAGCACAUUCUCCACUCACUGGGGAAUAUUCCAGCAAUGAGGUGUUAAUACACUCUGACUGCAAAGCAAAGAUCAUAUAUUAAAAUUGGUGAAGAUUUUGUGUGUAAAAUAUUGCAGUCUGUAAAUGAGUAUCUGGCUUUUAAAUCCCUGGCAAUGAGAAGUAAAUUAACAUGCAUGUGAACAGCUAAACUCUAAGUUGCAAUGUAGUAAUAUUCCUUGUCAACUAAAUUUCCUGGUAUAAGUAUUGUAAAGUACCCUUUAUUCAGAAUACAAACUUUCGAUUGUUAGAGAAGAGAGAAUGUAAGUGCACGUGUAAAAUGGUAAGGUUCCAAGUUCUUGCCGCAAUAAAGUUUCUAAACUCAACAAUUA